rnacentral:rRNA from 1 species
UACGGAGGGUGCGAGCGUUGUCCGGAAUCACUGGGCGUAAAGGGCGCGUAGGCGGUCUGCUAAGCGUGCGGUGAAAGCCUGGGGCUCAACCCCAGGUCUGCCGUGCGAACUGGUGGACUUGAGCACUGUAGAGGCAGGUGGAAUUCCGGGUGUAGCGGUGGAAUGCGUAGAGAUCCGGAAGAACACCGGUGGCGAAGGCGGCCUGCUGGGCAGUAGCUGACGCUGAGGCGCGACAGCGUGGGGAGCGAACAGG